UACGUAGGGACCAAGCGUUGUUCGGAUUUACUGGGCGUAAAGGGCGCGUAGGCGGUGCGGUACGUCACUUGUGAAAUCUCUGAGCUUAACUCAGAACGGCCAAGUGAUACUGCAGUGCUAGAGUGCGGAAGGGGCAAUCGGAAUUCUUGGUGUAGCGGUGAAAUGCGUAGAUAUCAGGAGGAACACCUGAGGUGAAGGCGGGUUGCUGGGCCGACACUGACGCUGGAGCGCGAAAGCCAGGGGAGCAAACGGG
rnacentral:rRNA from 1 species